CUUAAUGAAUUGACGGGACCCGCACAGCAGCGGAGCGUGUGGUUUAAUUCGUUGCUACACGAAGAACCUUACCUGGGUUUGACAUAUAGGUUGUAGGGAACUGAAAAGGGACCGACCCUUCGGGGAGCCUAUACAGGUGUUGCAUGGCUGUCGUCAGCUCGUGUCGUGAGAUGUUCGGUUAAGUCCGCUAACGAGCGCAACCCUCGUCGUAUGUUAUAUGUGUCAUACGAGACUGCCGGUAAAAAGCCGGAGGAAGGUGAGGAUGAUGUCAAGUCAGCAUGACCUUUAUAUCCAGGGCUACACACACGCUACAAUGGUCUGUACAAUGGGUAGCCAAGCCGCGAGGCGGAGCCAAUCCUGAAAGCAGGCCUCAGUUCGAAUUGGAGGCUGCAACUCGCCUCCAUGAAGUCGGAGUUGCUAGUAACCGCAGGUCAGCUAUACUGCGGUGAAUACGUUCCCGGGGCUU
rnacentral:rRNA from 1 species